GACGUUGUGGCUAAAGUGGUAAAGUGCUUGGCUUCUAAACCAAGAAGUCCUGGGUUUGAAUCUCAGUAAAGACU
rnacentral:tRNA from 1 species